rnacentral:rRNA from 1 species
UACGUAGGGUGCAAGCGUUACUCGGAAUUACUGGGCGUAAAGCGUGCGCAGGCGGUUUUGUAAGUCAGAUGUGAAAUCCCCGGGCUUAACCUGGGAACUGCGUUUGAAACUACAAGGCUAGAGUGUGACAGAGGGGGGUGGAAUUCCACGUGUAGCAGUGAAAUGCGUAGAGAUGUGGAGGAACACCGAUGGCGAAGGCAGCCCCCUGGGUCAAAACUGACGCUCAUGCACGAAAGCGUGGGGAGCAAACAGG